rnacentral:rRNA from 1 species
CACGGCCCAGACUCCUACGGGAGGCAGCAGUGGGGGAAUUUUGGACAAUGGGGGGCAACCCUGAUCCAGCCAUGCCGCGUGCAGGAUGAAGGCCUUCGGGUUGUAAACUGCUUUUGUACGGAACGAAAAGACUCUGGUUAAUACCUGGGGUCCAUGACGGUACCGUAAGAAUAAGCACCGGCUAACUACGUGCCAGCAGCCGCGGUAAUACGUAGGGUGCAAGCGUUAAUCGGAAUUACUGGGCGUAAAGCGUGCGCAGGCGGUGAUGUAAGACAGAGGUGAAAUCCCCGGGCUCAACCUGGGAACUGCCUUUGUGACUGCAUCGCUGGAGUGCGGCAGAGGGGGAUGGAAUUCCGCGUGUAGCAGUGAAAUGCGUAGAUAUGCGGAGGAACACCGAUGGCGAAGGCAAUCCCCUGGGCCUGCACUGACGCUCAUGCACGAAAGCGUGGGGAGCAAACAGGAUUAGAUACCCUGGUAGUCCACGCUCUAAACGAUGUCAACUGGUUGU